rnacentral:lncRNA from 1 species
CGAAAAGGGAACAGAGGUAUUGCUGGUGCAGAUGCAAGACCAGGUGCUCCCGGUUUUCCAGGGCCUCCUGGUCUUCCCACUCCCAGCAUCAAAGGAAGCAAAGGUGUUAGAGGGGCAGAUGGCAUACCAGGGCCAACAGGCCCAAAAGGCAACAUUGGUCCUCCAGGUCCAAAAGGAAUGGAAGGUCGAUCAGGUUUUCCUGGUGCUAGAGGGG